ACCUACUCAAGAGUACAUACUUCUUUAUGUACCCAUAUGAACAUAGAAUGCUAUGGAAUGUAAAGAAGUAUGUACUUUUGGUAGGUG
ensembl:miRNA